UCCCUCACAGUCCAGUGGUUAGGAUGCCACGCUUUCACUGCCAAGGACCCAGGUUCAAUCCCUGGUUGGGGAA
rnacentral:tRNA from 1 species